rnacentral:lncRNA from 1 species
AAUUAGUGAUCUAAUUACUAAUAUUUUUUAAAAAAUAGUAGAGUCUCAGUCUUAGUGGGACUCUCCCCCAGAGUCCUAGUCCAAGUAAGACUCUUCACCAGAGUCACAAUCUAAUUGGACUCUUAAGCCAUCUGAUCUGAUCAAAUCUUCUAAUACAUAAGACCCCAUAGGUUCAAACCUAAGUCGAUAGUAUAGGAAUAACUUUCUAUACUAAUCGAUGUAACCAUCUAACAAUGAUAACUCG